AUGGAGAUGGACGGCGGCGGCGGCGUCGGCGUUGCCCGGUGGCUCUUCGAGGAGUGGGGCACCGUCUGCGCCAAGGAUGGAAACCUCCGCAAGGACGACGACGGCACCACCGCCGACGAGUACGGCGACUACUGGUGCGCGUACCUCGCGUUCGAGCUCCGUCACGGGGACGCCAGGCACGCGCGCACCGUGGCGGCACGGGCCGUGAAGACCUGCCCGCACGACGCCUCGUUGCGCGACACGGUGGAGCUCCGCCUUAGAGACGCCAUCGAGAUCGAGCAGCAGAGGCGGCAUCGGUCGGGGCUGCUUCGCACUGCCAAGAAGUGGCUCUCCAAUGUCGAGCAGAGUCGCGGCUGCUCAUCGCUCGUACCCCGGCCGCCGCAGGGGUACCAGAGGCUCCUCAGCGGCUAG
rnacentral:rRNA from 1 species